UGCAGCAUAGCUUAAUGGCAAAGCCCCAAGCUCAUAACUUGGUCAUUGCGGGUACCGCUUCGCGGAAGCAAGCUACGACUCCCGCCGCUGCGACCA
rnacentral:tRNA from 1 species